rnacentral:rRNA from 1 species
GACGAACGCUGGCGGCGUGCUUAACACAUGCAAGUCGAACGGAAAGGCCCUGCUUGCAGGGUACUCGAGUGGCGAACGGGUGAGUAACACGUGGGUGAUCUGCCCUGCACUUCUGGGUAAGCUUUGGAAACUGGGUCUAUUACCGGAUAGCAACCAUCUUUAGUGUGGUGGUUGGAAAGAUUUUUCGGUGUAGGAUGAUCUCGCGGCCUAUCAGCUUGUUGGUGGGUUGAUGGCCUACCAAGGCGGCGACGGGUAGCCGGCCUGAGAGGGUGUACGGCCACACUGGGACUGUGAGACAGCCCAGACUCCUACGGGAGGCAGAAAUGGGGAAUAUUGGACAAAGGGAGCCAGCGUGAUGCAGCGAGGCCGCGUGGGGGAUAAAGGCCUUUGGGUUGUAAAAUCCUCUCGCGAGUGACAAAGCGUUGUUGUGACGGUACCUAGAGAAGAAGCACCGGCUAACUACGUG